rnacentral:rRNA from 1 species
UACGUAGGCAGCAAGCGUUGUUCGGAGUUACUGGGCGUAAAGGGCGCGUAGGCGGCCUCUGCAAGUCGACUGUGAAAUCUCCGGGCUUAACCCGGAAAGGUCAGCCGAUACUGCAGGGCUAGAGUGCAGAAGGGGCAACUGGAAUUCUCGGUGUAGCGGUGAAAUGCGUAGAUAUCGAGAGGAACACCUGCGGCGAAGGCGGGUUGCUGGGCUGAUACUGACGCUGAGGCGCGAAAGCUAGGGGAGCGAACGGG